rnacentral:lncRNA from 1 species
CCCCUGUAGGCAGCAGCCACUAGCUACACAGGAACCAUAUCUGUAUAUCAGAGAUGUACAAUAAAGCCUACUGAAUACUACAGACAGCCAUCUUUUCAGGCAUACCUUAACCAGAAGUUCAUGAAAACAUUGCACAGAUGGAGAUACCUCCAGAAGACUCCUUCACUGAGCUGUGGGAGUGUCAAUUUAGGAAAUUGGGAGUAUCAUGCAGGAGACCUCACUGUCAAGAGACCGGUUGCUCUUUCCCAGACAAGAAUCACAGAGCUGGAGCUGAGGCAGACCACAGAGCUCUGGCUGCAGGCCCCAUCACCAGAAUUCCUCUGGCAGAUGAUGCUCAGGAAACCUGCACAGAAGCCUGAAGGGCUAGAGCUUAACCCACCCUCAGAGGUGGUGACUUGGAGCCUGAGAUUGUGAAAGGAUCACAUUUGCAGCUCCUGAAGAAACAUAUUAAAUACAUCUUUCCAAGAUAAUUUGUAUAUGUAUGUCAAAAUAAUAUGAGGAAUGAUGCCUUCAGCUGUCCUCACUUAAGUAGUUGGGGUUUUUUAAGAAAAGUGAAUAAUCAAAUGUUCUGAAAUCUUUUCCGAAGAUCUCAUCUCCAUGAUUUUCCUGUAUUCAUUAAAGAGUUACAAACAGAAUGGCAACUGCUAACUAGGGCUAUUUGGUAAUUUGAAAAAGUAACUUGAGUAUCAUCCUUUGAAUAAGGACAAUAGAUUCUUUAGAUAAUUGCCUAUGUAAGGUACAUCUGUAUUUUGUAAGCACUAUUGAUGCUGUGCAGUUAUUGCACUCCUUUGCUUUGAUUUAGUGCUCAUCUUGAAACCAGCCAAGUCUAUUUCAAGAGACAGUAUCUUGUGAACAGUGAUCAAAGUGUAAAUUUAUGCAAAUUCAAUGCUUCACCUUAAUUACCUUGAUGGUGCUUGUCAG